GAUGAACGCUGGCGGCGUGCCUAAUACAUGCAAGUCGAGCGAACAGACGAGGAGCUUGCUCCUCUGACGUUAGCGGCGGACGGGUGAGUAACACGUGGAUAACCUACCUAUAAGACUGGGAUAACUUCGGGAAACCGGAGCUAAUACCGGAUAAUAUAUUGAACCGCAUGGUUCAAUAGUGAAAGACGGUUUUGCUGUCACUUAUAGAUGGAUCCGCGCCGCAUUAGCUAGUUGGUAAGGUAACGGCUUACCAAGGCAACGAUGCGUAGCCGACCUGAGAGGGUGGUCGCCCACAUGGGACCUGAGCCGCCGCCCACCCUCUGCCGGGAGCGCGAGGAGGGUAUUCUCCCCCAUGGGCCAAAGCCCUGCCGGCGCACGCCGGCGGAAGGACAGAGGUUUUCCGGAUCUAAAACCUUUGUUUUUAGGGAGAAACAAAUGUUAAAGAACCUAUGCACUUCUGGCGGUCCCCUAAUAAGAACGCCCCGCCACCCCCCGGC
rnacentral:rRNA from 1 species